rnacentral:lncRNA from 1 species
GCUUGUUAAGUAGAUUUUCAACAAUGAGAACGUUUAGCAACAAAUUAUAUUUGGUUGAUGAACCCUUGGAGGGAUAAAUUCCAUCUUUUUGGUUUGAUUAGUGGGUAUCAGUGACCACAAUGUGGUUGUGGAUCGUAGCCUUCAACAGCCAAGUCAUUUUUGGUAGCCAAAGCAUUAUCCGUCGUUUUUUAUUUCUAUUUGUGAUUGGGUGUUUAUAAUAACCUUCAACAACCAUGUCAUUCAUCAAUUAAUUCAAAUAUGAUUUAAUUAAUUGAAUGAAGAGUAUUGAGAUAUGUGAGUUUGAUUUUUCAAAUUUGGAGA